rnacentral:rRNA from 1 species
GACAGAGGUGCCGAGCGUUAGGCGGAAUCACUGGGCUUAAAGCGUGUGUAGGCGGGUCGUUAAGUGUCUUGUGAAAUCCCACCGCUCAACGGUGGAACCGCUGGGCAUACUGGCGACUCUGAGCAGUCCAGGGGCGAGCGGAACAAGCGGUGGAGCGGUGAAAUGCGUAGAUAUCGCUUGGAACGCCGACGGUGAAAACAGCUCGCUGGGGACUCGCUGACGCUGAGACACGAAAGCCAGGGGAGCGAACGGG